UUAUCUGUCACAUUUCAUCAUGAGAUCACCUGGCUUUCGCAUCAUCUUUUCAAAAUUCUGCCGUUGAUUACUCAUCUACUCUGUCGGUUAAGCUCAAAUAUCUUCGGUCUUUUGUUUUCCUUUAUAUUCUAGUGUAUUUUCUUUCUCCCCUUGAAGAUUUCUCCAUUAUUUUUCUCAGAGGUAGAUGUUGAAAGUGGAUCAAAGGAGGGAACCACUCGUACUUUGGAACCUUCCUAUUGGACUU